rnacentral:SRP_RNA from 1 species
CCUGGGGAAACUACUGAGUGCCUGUGAUCCCAACUCCCGGGGAGGCUGAAGCCGGCGGAUCGCUUGAGCUCAGGAGUUACGGGCUGUGCCGAUCGGGUGCCCGCACUAAGUUCGGCAUCAAUAUGGUGAUCCCUGGGGAGCCUGGGGUCCCCAGGUUGCUUAAGGAGGAGUGAACCGGCCCAGGUCGGAAACGGAGCAGGUCAAAACUCCCGUGCCGAUCAGUAGUGGGAUCGCGCCUGUGAAUAGCCACUGCAGCGUAGCCUGGGCAAGACAGUGAGACACGGUCUCUU